UAAAAGAUUAUGAAUAUUUAUUGUUUUAUAAUAUACAUAACAAAAGAAGAUAAAAAAUUUAACAAUUGGAUUUCAUGCUACCACAACCAUAAAUCCGGGAAUUCUCAAUGAGAUUAAUCUCUAUAUAGAAUUUUCUUGUAAAAAAAAUCUGACAAAAUAGAAAAAAAUAUCUAUGUAUAACAGAAAAAAACACAUAUACAUGUAUGUAUAUAAAUUUUAAACUAAAAGAAAAAAAAAAUAUUUCCACAACUGAACAUAAAUUUUGACUUUCGUCACUACCUCUGUUAGUAAGUUAUACUAAAAAUAUUGUCUAAAUAAAUUUAUCUUCAAUAAAUAUGCAAUAUGACACCGUACAACCAACAUGAGUCUUUCAAGUCAAAACUAACAUCACAUGAUCAACUGCCAUUGUUUUUAUUGUUCAAAUGAUUCCCAAAAAAUGAUUUGACCAUGGAAGUAUUAUAUUGACAGGAACUCCAACGAAAAAUUAGCACAUUCGCACCCCACUGAUUUCUUUAGGAAAAUUAAAGGUUCCGACUCAGUAUGUCAAGUAUGUGAUAACUCCUUUGUGGGGUAUCUGCGAUGCCGCCCUCGCGUGUGUAGUUUACAGAAACUGAUCUUAUCACGUGAUCUGUUAUCGAGGGUCUAAUCUACCUACCAAUGUAAAUAAACACGGAAACUCCCGUGGCUAAUUGCGAAUCGCUACAUGAAUAACGACACCUGUUUCUAUUCAAUAAUUAAAGACUACAGCUGAAACAAUCUUAAAAAUCGGUCCAUAUUUAACAGAAUGACAAAAGAAAAAUAAUUGUAUUUGGAAAGAAGGUAAGAUUAUUUUUAGUUUUGUCUAAUAUGUUUUUAUCACUAGAACUAGGAAACCGGGAAAUAUCGGAUUAUGCAGAUUACAUGACUCUGAAGUAGAGUGUUUGCAGAAAAUAAUUUGAUGUCCGUGUAGUGUGCCUGAUGGCGCCUGAUAACUCAAAUUUUAAGUUAAAGAUUGUAAAUUUUAAUCGAGUGUAACACAAAUAUUAAUAGUUUUCUCGAUCGUAAAAUGUAACUUAACAUAUUUAUAGAAAUUGUUUUAAGCACUAAGAGGUGUAUAAUUAUACGCCCGUGAUUGUCUCUCCAUAUAGUAUGUAUCAAGUUAAAACACAGAUUACAUGUACACCUUCUUUUUUUUUAAAUUCAACCUGGUCCGAGAUUGCUCAAGCGUCUGACGGAUUUGUUUUGGGAAAUUUAUAAAAUUUUCUUUUUGUUGAAAUGAAUGAAACAUUUGACACCGGACUUUCAGUAAAAAAUUCAACAAGUGAUUUGUUAGCAGUAAACCUCAAUUAUACAUGCAGAUUACAACUAUUUGUUUCCUUACACAAGACAUUUAUUAUAAUUCAAUAUAAAAAUAAGAAGAUAUGAUUGCCAAUAAGACUACUCUCCACCAGAGAUCAAAUGAAACAGAAGUUUUCAACUAUAGGUCACCUUACUGCCUUAAACAUAUUUUAGCAAAUCCAUUUCAUAUAUGAAAAAAAUUUUGGUGGAAAAAUUUUGUUUUGCAGUCGGGUCCUUCACACGGAAUCAUCUUUUCUAUUGAACAUGUUUCAGAUUUACAAAAGAUUUACAAAAGCAAUAAAACUCUUCAAUUUCUUCUCCGAUAAUUUUUUCAAAUUCUUCAUCAUCAAAAUCGUGCAUGUCCAUAUUGAUUAGUGAAAUAUUUGUAAAUGUUGAUAGUUUAUUAACAUAGAAAACCUAAAAACUAUAAAUUGUCAACUGCCAAAUAUUGGCAUGGUCGUUAAAUGUCAUAUCCUUGACAUUUAUGUAUACAUCCGGUUACUUCGGUAAAUUCCGUAAUUACGAGUAUCCCGAAAACGUCGUUGAACCCAUGCAUCGAUACAACUAAUUGAAAGAUGUCAAAUUAAUUAACAGAUACUUAACGAUUUUGCGGCAUCGCACUAUAAACGUUUGAAGUCGGUUUGUUGGAGUUCCUGUCAAUAUAAUACUUCCAUGAUUCAGUUGUUUACACCAAAUGCAACAUAUGUUUGCAAAGUUGCAUGUAUAUUAUAAUUCACUGAUUAAUUUUAACAGCCAAAAUGUUACCAGUUUUAAAGAAAUAUGUUUGAUAAAGCCCCACUAUGGCCCCUUUUUCUAGUUAAAACUUCAAGCAUUACCUAACUAUCUACCUUUCAAAUAUCAGAUUUAAAACUGUGGAAAAAGCUUUGGAGGAAAUAUUGUUUUGAUCAUGACCAGUUUUUGGUACUAUCAAAAUGUAUUUCCACUGAUUUUAAUAUUCAUACCGAAAUCUACUUUAACUUAUAGUUCAAAAUAGUAAAAUAGCAGACUACCUCUUGAAAGUAAAAUUGAUUUUAUUAUUUGUGUCAAUAUGAAAUUGUUACCUUUUCAUAUAAAACAAGACUUGUUGACCAUAUUUGUCAGUUUUAUUAAAAUGAAAAUAAAUCAGGUUUGUUGUACAGCGUGAAAAUACAUCACCAGGACUCAUAAAAUCUAUUUUAUGCAUAUACUGUAACAAAGACAGGGUUCUACAAACAUUCUCACAGAAUUUUCUGAUACUUCAAUUUGAAUAAAAUGGUAACUAAUACAAUAAUUUACAUAUAUAAAUUUAAUUGCUAGACAGUUUGAGUUUAUCUAUCUGCUUGUCUAUUAUAAAUAUGUCAGUACAUGGAAUCCUGUUAAUGUAUUAAUCAUGCAUAUUAUCAUGUACUCUAUAAAUAAAUAUAUAAAUCUACAUUAUCAACUUUGGCCACUGAUAAUAGUUAUAUUGCAGUUUAAAAAUAAUUUAAUUAAAUAAACAAAAUAAAUGUAUAUUAUUAUUCUAACAAAUAUAAACCUCUAUAGAAUGAAUCGGAUUUCAUGUCAAAAAAGGGGGAUUUGAAUAUUCUGAUAUUUUAGAAAGUUUGCAGUUUAUGUUUCUGACACAAAAUAUGUUUCAAACAGUU
rnacentral:lncRNA from 1 species